CAGUCGACGAUGAUGCCCAGCUUGCUGGGUGGAUUAGUGGCGAACGGGUGAGUAACACGUGAGUAACCUGCCCCUGACUCUGGGAUAAGCGUUGGAAACGACGUCUAAUACUGGAUAUGAUCACUGGCCGCAUGGUCUGGUGGUGGAAAGAUUUUUUGGUUGGGGAUGGACUCGCGGCCUAUCAGCUUGUUGGUGAGGUAAUGGCUCACCAAGGCGACGACGGGUAGCCGGCCUGAGAGGGUGACCGGCCACACUGGGACUGAGACACGGCCCAGACUCCUACGGGAGGCAGCAGUGGGGAAUAUUGCACAAUGGGCGAAAGCCUGAUGCAGCAACGCCGCGUGAGGGAUGACGGCCUUCGGGUUGUAAACCUCUUUUAGUAGGGAAGAAGCGAAAGUGACGGUACCUGCAGAAAACCC
rnacentral:rRNA from 1 species